UAUUUUUUUAAUGAGUGUUUCUUCGGCACCUGAAUCCAAGCCAGUGUGUCUGAACAAUUUAGACAGUUGCUGGCUGGCACCCGAGUUGGAUGUCUUGGAUGGUCCAUCCUCACAGAAACACACAAAAAAGUGUGAGCUAUGGGUAGCAGUGACGAUGCCAAAGGUUUAGGCUGGAUGGGCCAAGUCCGUCCCAAAGUCACCUCAUCGAUCAUGGGUGACAGGGCGGAGCCGCUGCUGGUCCCAGGUGUAACUGUAACGAUUGUCGUUGGGAGAAGGAGAAGAGGACCAAAUUGCAGCGUGGUACGUAUUCAUAAUACUUUUAAUAAAGAUGAAUACUCAAACAAAAACAACAAACCGACAAACAGUUCUGCAAGGUGCAACAAAAACACUAAACAGAAAAUAACUACCCACCAACCGUAGUGAGAAAACAGGCUGCCU
rnacentral:lncRNA from 1 species